CCUACGGGAGGCAGCAGUGGGGAAUUUUCCGCAAUGGGCGAAAGCCUGACGGAGCAACGCCGCGUGAGGGAUGAAGGCCUCUGGGCUGUAAACCUCUUUUCUCAAGGAAGAAGAUCUGACGGUACUUGAGGAAUAAGCCACGGCUAAUUCCGUGCCAGCAGCCGCGGUAAUACGGGAGUGGCAAGCGUUAUCCGGAAUUAUUGGGCGUAAAGCGUCCGCAGGCGGCCUUUCAAGUCUGCUGUUAAAACGUGGAGCUUAACUCCAUCAUGGCAGUGGAAACUGUUGGGCUUGAGUGUGGUAGGGGCAGAGGGAAUUCCCGGUGUAGCGGUGAAAUGCGUAGAUAUCGGGAAGAACACCAGUGGCGAAGGCGCUCUGCUGGGCCAUAACUGACGCUCAUGGACGAAAGCCAGGGGAGCGAAAGGGAUUAGAUACCCCUGUAGUCCUGGCCGUAAACGAUGAACACUAGGUGUCGGGGGAAUCGACCCCCUCGGUGUCGUAGCCAACGCGUUAAGUGUUCCGCCUGGGGAGUACGCACGCAAGUGUGAAACUCAAAKGAAUUGACGG
rnacentral:rRNA from 1 species